rnacentral:lncRNA from 1 species
GGGAGAGGUGGUUGGAGGGAGUGGGAGAGGUAUGGCAUAUGAGAGGGAUUCAACCCUUUUUGGGGUUUUGGGGAAUGAAAGGGAAAAAGGGGAACGGGAUGAAGGGAAGGGAGUUUGUAGAGUCCCAUUGGUGGACAAUGGUGCGGCGGAGUUUGGCAUGUGUGGUGGUUGACGGCAGGGACAAUGCAAGGAGGAGUGGAAGAACAUAUAAAAAAGAUAUCCUGGAAGUGAACCUGAACACAGCCCUUGUGACAAUAGCCUAUGAGAGAGAUGUUGCGAUGGGUUGGGAGGGGGUGAAGUGUUGAAUCAUUAAGGAGGCAUGGUGGGCCAGCUAUAGUGGAGUCGCUACAGAUAAUGGAAGUGAAGAGAGAAAAAUUGGUUAAGUUAGCAUGGGAGCCGUCACGGGCGUGGAGGUGUCUAUUGGAAGGCAAAGAUUGAU